AAGUCGUAACAAGGUUUCCGUAGGUGAACCUGCGGAAGGAUCAUUAACACGUUCUCCACGUAUUAUAUCAAAUCCUUUUAUCCACAACCAAAGAAUCGCGCUCCCUGGCUCUAAUGAUCGACCCGCAGCUGGACGUGGCUGGAUUGUAGUGGGUUGCAGCUUCUAGAAGCUGUGACACAUUCAGCUCGGACUAUCGCCUCUUCGAGGGCGUGGCUGCAUACUGAUCACCAGGCUUACUAACACCUCCUGUGUCCAACCACUUUGGAUGCUGCUUUAUGGGACCCCAUACCAGUUUCACCCUAUUUUACCUAUUUGACUAAUUUCUACACCCCAUUCCGGAACCGGAAUGGAGCCUAAGAUUUAUCUUAACUAAGCACAACUCUUAGCAAUGGAUAUCUUGGUUCUC
rnacentral:misc_RNA from 1 species